AAAAUGAAGGAUAAAAAAGUGAGAAGUAGAAUGCAAUGUCUCAAAGCAGGAUGUGAUUGUGAUGAAUACACAAAAGAGAAAGGUUUUGAUUUGUGUGCCUAUUGUGAUCAUGCACCAGUUUUACAUAAAGUGGAAGACAAUUUGAAUCUUGUUGAAGAUAUGAGUUAGCUCAUUUCUCUUAGAGCAAUGCAAUACUAAAAUACUAAACACGUUAUCCACCGCUCUCGGUAUGUCAAUCGUGUUAUUUGAACCCCAAAACUGUAAGAAAGAAAACGGAUAUGCUAACUUUGAAUCAGCUACUUUGAGCCAAAGUGAAAUAGACUUCAGUUUGGACAAUAACAAGGUAACAAGCCCAUUCAAGAAUCAGUGUAUACAACAAGCUAAGCCAUUUCAAGAUACAGCUGGUAAAAUAGUUUUUGCAUCAAAAAUUGUACUUCAUCAUAAAAACAAUACUCUCUUUGGGGUUUGAAAUAUUUUUCUUUAUAAUGUUUAACUAUUUUUAUAAAUUCUGUUAAAGAAAAUAUUAUAAUACUUAAUUUGCAUUAUUGAUAACAUAUCAUUUGUAUCAUAAGUAUGAUGAUUUUAAUUAUAAAUUAUAUUUUGUUUAGUAACACUUAAAUAUUAUUUAUAAAUUUAAUAGAAUGGUUUAGACCCCAUCCUGAAUUCUUGCACAGAUGGGAUUAUUGUGUUAAGUGCUUUAAAUCUAACCUUUAGUUUACGCAGCAAGUUGGCUAGAAUAGCAGUCAACCAUAUUAUUCAAAAGAAAGGAUUGCAGUAAGUAAUAAGUAUUCUUAAUAAGCUUCUUCUAUAUAAUAUUUUUAAACAUUAAAAAAAUUAUAUAGAAGAAGCAAUUCAAGAUGACCUUAAUUGGCUUAAAUUUAAUAGUUAACCAUGGACUGAAGUGUGCCAUAAAUGGAAAUCAACUUCAAAAUUUAGGUUGAAAUGUUUUCAUCUGGCACCAAAGACAUUCCAAAUUUUAAACUUCUUUUGGAUCUAAAAGCAGAUGCAUUGGUAAAUAUCGAUUUUACUCAAUUGAGUAUGCAAAAGAAUUAUGAGCAUUGUAGCAACUUUAUGUUUCAAAAAAUUCCACUACAUGCAAAAAAAUUGAUAGGCUUAGUUGCCAAGAAAUAUUCCAUGCAAGAUGUUUAGUGUUUUAUUUUUAAUAAAAGUUUAUUAAUUAGCAUAUAUAGUAUGAUUAGCAUAAUAUGAUUAGCAUACAUAUAACACAGUAGCAUAAUAUGAUAAGCAUACAUAUAUCAAUGACAGCUUAGUCGGCAAUCUGACAGACGGACAGUUUUUAAGAUGGCGGAAAAUUACCUAUGUUCAUACACCUAACUGACAAUGGAAAAAACAUAUUUAUACAUUCAUGUGUAUUAUAUAUGUAUAUAUCAGGGAUUAUCUUUUUCCAGAUAUUCCCGGAAUUCCGGAUAUUUUUCAAGAUUAGUUUUUCCGGAUAUCCAAAAGGUUUUCUAUACAUACAAGUUUAAGUAUAUAUUUGUGUAAUAUAUUUGAUUUUUAAGGCUUUUUAGUCACUCAUACAAAAAUUAAAGAAAUUCUCAAAAAAAUUGAGAUACAACUCAGCUAAAAGAAAAUUAAGAGGAAAACAAGGGGAAAAAAAAUCCAGAUAUUUUCCGGAUAUUUUAAGCAAAUAAUUUUCUGGAUUUUUUAAAUACGACCUGGAUAUAUAAUACAGGGGUAGAAGAUGAGACAGCUGCUCUUUUGGCUAUUGUGCGAUUGACAUGCUGCAAAUGUUCCAUCCAUUUAUGCAAAGAAGCAAAGAGAAAAUCCUGGACUCCUAGUGUUAAAGAAUGUGGCGAAUCAUUUCUUUUUCUGCCAAUGUAAAUUAAAUAUAAAUAAAAUACAAAAGUUUUUAUUCACUAGUUAUUAUUUAAAGACACUAAAAUUUAUUAAAUAUAAAAAUUAUUAUAAUAACUAAGUUGUU